rnacentral:rRNA from 1 species
UACGUAGGUGGUAAGCGUUGUCCGGAUUUAUUGGGCGUAAAGCGAGUGCAGGCGGUUCUUUAAGUCUGAUGUGAAAACCCCCGGCUCAACCGGGGAAGGUCAUUGGAAACUGGGGAACUUGAGUGCAGAAGAGGAGAGUGGAAUUCCGUGUGUAGCGGUGAAAUGCGUAGAUAUAUGGCGGAACACCAGUGGCGAAGGCGACUCUCUGGUCUGUAACUGACGCUGAGGCUCGAAAGCGUGGGGAGCAAACAGG